rnacentral:rRNA from 1 species
AUUGAACGCUGGCGGCAGGCCUAACACAUGCAAGUCGAGCGGCAGCGGGAAAGUAGCUUGCUACUUUUGCCGGCGAGCGGCGGACGGGUGAGUAAUGCCUGGGAAAUUGCCCAGUCGAGGGGGAUAACAGUUGGAAACGACUGCUAAUACCGCAUACGCCCCACGGGGGAAAGCAGGGGACCUUCGGGCCUUGCGCGAGUGGAGAUGCUCAGGUGGGAUUAGCUAGUUGGUGAGGUAAUGGCUCACCAAGGCGACGAUCCCUAGCUGGUCUGAGAGGAUGAUCAGCCACACUGGAACUGAGACACGGUCCAGACUCCUACGGGAGGCAGCAGUGGGGAAUAUUGCACAAUGGGGGAAACCCUGAUGCAGCCAUGCCGCGUGUGUGAAGAAGGCCUUCGGGUUGUAAAGCACUUUCAGCGAGGAGGAAAGGUUGAUGCCUAGUACGUAUCAACUGUGACGUUACUCGCAGAAGAAGCACCGGCUAACUCCGUGCCAGCAGCCGCCGUAACAC